UACGGGGGGGCAAGCGUUGUUCGGAAUUACUGGGCGUAAAGGGUUCGUAGGUGGCUUGCUAAGUCAGACGUGAAAUCCCUCAGCUUAACUGGGGAACUGCGUCUGAUACUGGCGAGCUUGAGUGCAGGAGAGGAACGCGGAAUUCCAGGUGUAGCGGUGAAAUGCGUAGAUAUCGGAAGGAACACCAGUGGCGAAAGCGGCUUCCUGGUCCAGCACCGACGUCAGGCACGAAAGCGUGGGGAGCAAACA
rnacentral:rRNA from 1 species